rnacentral:hammerhead_ribozyme from 1 species
ACCCCGCUGAUGUGUCCUAAAUAGGACGAAACGCGUGUCGAAUUGGAU